GAUGAAGAACGUAGCGAAAUGCGAUAAGUAAUGUGAAUUGCAGAAUUCAGUGAAUCAUCGAAUCUUUGAACUCACAUUGCGCCCCCUGGUAUUCCGGGGGGCAUGCCUGUUCGAGCGUCAUUACAACCCUCAAGCUCUGCUUGGUAUUGGGCCCCGCCAGUUCUGGCGGGCCCUAAAGUCAGUGGCGGUGCCUUCCGGCUCCGAGCGUAGUAAUUCUUCUCGCUCUGGAGACCCGGUUGUGUGCUUGCCAACAACCCCCAAUUUUUUAAGGUUGACCUCGGAUCAGGUAGGGAUACCCGCUGAACUUAAGCAUAUCAAUAAGCGGAGGA
rnacentral:misc_RNA from 1 species